rnacentral:rRNA from 1 species
GAAGGUGGCAAGCGUUAUCCGGAUUGAUUGGGCGUAAAGCGUCCGUAGAUGGUUUGACAAGUCGUAAGUCAAAUCCUGAAGCUCAACUUCAGGGCUGCUUACGAAACUGUCUUACUUGAGGCUGGAAGAGGCAAGCGGAAUUAUCGGUGUAGCGGUAAAAUGCGUUAAUAUCGAUAAGAACACCAAAAGCGAAGGCAGCUUGCUGGGACAGUUCUGACAUUGAUGGACGAAAGCGUGGGGAGCGAAUGGGAUUAGAUACCCCAGUAGUCCACGCCGUAAACGAUGGGUACUAAGCAUUGGGAGUAUCGACCCUCUCAGUGUUGUUUAAUUAAGCUAACGCCUUAAGUACCCCGCCUGGGAAGUACGGCCGCAAGGCUA